rnacentral:tRNA from 1 species
GGCUGUAGCUCAGUGGAAGAGUGCUUUCCUGGCAUGCAUGGGACCCUGGGUUUGAUCCUCAGCACCA